rnacentral:rRNA from 1 species
AUACGUAGGGGGCGAGCGUUGUCCGGAAUGAUUGGGCGUAAAGGGCGCGUAGGCGGCCCGGUAAGUCUGGAGUGAAAGUCCUGUUUUUAAGAUGGGAAUUGCUUUGGAUACUGUCGGGCUGGAGUGCAGGAGAGGUAAGUGGAAUUCCCAGUGUAGCGGUGAAUUGCGUAGAGAUUGGGAGGAACACCAGUGGCGAAGGCGACUUACUGGACUGUAACUGACGCUGAGGCGCGAAAGUGUGGGGAGCAAACAGGAUUAGAUACCCUGGUAGUCCACACUGUAAACGAUGAAUGCUAGGUGUAGGGGGUAUCGACCCCUUCUGUGCCGCAGUCAACACAAUAAGCAUUCCGCCUGGGGAGUACGGCCGCAAGGUUGAAACUCAAAGGAAUUGACGGGG